UCAGGUCCCAACUCAGUUACUUUGAAUCCAGCCACGGCGCCAGCCUGAAGAUCCGACUCGAUGUUUCCUGGGUCCAGGAAAGCAAUGCUCAUGAGGAAGCCGGGCCCGGUGAAGGCCCACAGCUUCUGCAGACUGAAGGUGCCCUGUUUCGUGCCUGGGAUGGGCAUCUU